rnacentral:rRNA from 1 species
UACGUAGGGGGCAAGCGUUGUCCGGAUUCAUUGGGCGUAAAGAGCGUGUAGGCGGCCAGGUAGGUCGGUUGUGAAAACUGGAGGCUCAACCUUCAGAGGUCGACCGAAACCCCCUAACUAGAGUCCGGAAGAGGAGAGUGGAAUUCCUGGUGUAGCGGUGAAAUGCGCAGAUAUCAGGAAGAACACCCGUGGCUAAGGCGGCUCUCUAGUACGGUACUGACGCUGAGACGCGAAAGCGUGGGGAGCGAACAGG